rnacentral:misc_RNA from 1 species
GAUGAAGAACGAAGCAAAAUGCGAUAAGUAAUGUGAAUUGCAGAAUUCAGUGAAUCAUCGAAUCUUUGAACGCACAUUGCGCCCGCCAGUAUUCUGGCGGGCAUGCCUGUUCGAGCGUCAUUUCAACCCUCAAGCACAGCUUGGUGUUGGGACUCGCGUUAAUUCGCGUUCCCCAAAUUGAUUGGCGGUCACGUCGAGCUUCCAUAGCGUAGUAGUAAAACCCUCGUUACUGGUAAUCGUCGCGGCCACGCCGUUAAACCCCAACUUCUGAAUGUUGACCUCGGAUCAGGCAGGAAUACCCGCUGAACUUAAGCAUAUCAAUAAGCGGAGGA